rnacentral:rRNA from 1 species
AGUGAACGCUGGCGGUAGGCCUAACACAUGCAAGUCGAACGGCAGCACAGUAAGAGCUUGCUCUUACGGGUGGCGAGUGGCGGACGGGUGAGGAAUACAUCGGAAUCUACUUUUUCGUGGGGGAUAACGUAGGGAAACUUACGCUAAUACCGCAUACGACCUACGGGUGAAAGCAGGGGAUCUUCGGACCUUGCGCGAUUGAAUGAGCCGAUGUCGGAUUAGCUAGUUGGCGGGGUAAAGGCCCACCAAGGCGACGAUCCGUAGCUGGUCUGAGAGGAUGAUCAGCCACACUGGAACUGAGACACGGUCCAGACUCCUACGGGAGGCAGCAGUGGGGAAUAUUGGACAAUGGGCGCAAGCCUGAUCCAGCCAUGCCGCGUGGGUGAAGAAGGCCUUCGGGUUGUAAAGCCCUUUUGUUGGGAAAGAAAAGCAGCAGGUUAAUACACGGCUGUUCUGACGGUACCCAAAGAAUAAGCACCGGCUAACUACGUG